rnacentral:rRNA from 1 species
AUGAGUGUUCAAAGCUUCCCAGACCAGAUUCUUCGGAACAGCUCCAGUGGUGGCUUCCCUGGCCUGCAAUGCUGCAGCCCUUAGCGUCUUCCAUGUCAUUACAUUGGCCUCCCAGAAUGUGGCAGCACCAUAAGACAGCCCAUGCUUCUUGCAAAGGUCGCGCACAAUCGGCGCGACCAUCCUGUAGUGGCACCGAGGCAGGCGAGGAAACAAAUGGUGUUCAACCUGGAACUGAAGACCACCAUGGAACCAAUCCAUCCACGGGGAGCACUUGAUAUCAAGUGUGCCCGCGGUUUGCCUCUCAAACCAGUCGUUCCCCUUUGGUGGCCCAACAUACACGGCGGAUGAGAAGUGGUUCAGGCAGAACUGCACAUGCUGAAUCCCCGUGAUCACAAAGCUUGCAAGCACAAAAGCAACCCUCUCCCACCAAUUCGGCAGGCAAGAGACCAACAAGGGGUACCAAACCCAGAACGCGGCAACUCCGGCGAUCUCCAGCCAACGCUGCCGCACCUUCUUUUGCGUGAUCAGGAACACGAUUGACUGCACUAGAAGAUUUAUCCUUGCAAAUCCCAUCACCGGGUAGAAUGUCCAGUGCUGGUAGCUGACGAAGAACUUGGAUAUGGCAUCAAACGCCAAGGUGCGCUCGUAGCAGACUGACCAAAGGUUGUUGAAGAGCUUGGUGGAAACCGCGAAGAGCGGCAAGUGCUGGAGGUCAGGGUCAUGGUCGAGGCUGUUGCAGGAGAUGUGGUGUGUGUUGUGGUUGAACUUCCACCAGGCGAUGCCGAGGCCGGUGAGGCAGUUCCCAGAUACCACCUGCAGGAGGCGGUUGAGCGCAGGGUGCUUGGUGAUCUGGUGGUGGCCGGAGUCAUGGCCAAUCCAGCCCGACUGGAUCCAGAUGAAGCCAAUGAGGCCGCCGGCGAACAUGUGGGCCCCGGUGCUGGAGCAGGCGAGGACGCAGUAGAGGGCGAUGCAGAAGAGCACCGACAUUGCGACGAGCAGGAACUUGGGGGUGUGGCCGACGCGCUCGAAGAGGCCCGCGGAGGAGAGCUGCGCGAGGAGGCGGCGGAAGUCGGCGGAGGCGGGGGGGACGGUGUAGUCGGAGAGGCGGCCGACGAAGAAGCGGCGGAGGAGCGGGCGCACGGAGGGCGGGUGGUAGGCCAUGAAGGCGUCGGUGGCGUCCUGGCCGGCGAGGGUGAUGAGCGGGACCUCGCCGCCCGGGUGGUGGCGCAGCCAGGGCGUGACGUCGUAGACGUCCCCGGAGAUGGAGAUCCAGAGGUCGUCCGCGGCGGCGUGCGCCUGCAGCUCCUUGGUGGAGAUCAUGCGGACGUCGGCCGCGUCCUUGCUGGCGGCCGGCAUUGCGUCGGCUUCCGGCGCCGUUGCGUCCGCGAGGCCCGUGCGGGCCAUCGGUGGCGUGGAUUUAGCUGGAGCGCGAGGAGGGGUGGUCAGGAGGAAGGGAGGGGAGGGGAGGGGGAGGGGGCAAGGGGAGAUCGGAUCUUAAAACAGGAACGGUUCCAGGUUUGUUAG